rnacentral:rRNA from 1 species
GGGGGAAAAAUUAAUAAAAUACAAAUAAAAAAAAAAUUUUUAAAUAUUAAAAUGGGGGUUUUAGUAUAGUUAUGGAAAAAAUUAUUAUUUUUAUAGUUAAAUAAGUAUUGUAAAAGAAUUUUGAAAUAAAUUAAAUAUUAAUUUAAAUAAAAGUAAUUUUAAUUUAAUGUAUCUUGGGUAUCAGAGUUUAUUAAAAAUUAUUAUUAGAAAAUAAUUUCUCGAAUUUAAAAGAGAUAAUUAAUUAAAAAAUUUAUUGUUGCAUAAAUAUUUUAAAUAGUUAAUUUGAAAUGAAAUGUUAAUCGUUUUUAAAUAUAUCUAGUUUUUUUAGAAAAAAAUUUAAUUUUAAAUUAUUUAUUAAAUUAAUUAAUUAAUUAAUUAAUUUAAUAAAUAAUUUUAUAUUUUAAGGGAUAAGCUUUAAAAUAAAUUUAUAUAAUAAAAUUUAAAAUUUAUUGAAAAUUAUAUAAUUUAAAUUGUUAAUAAAUUUUAAUUUAUUAAAAAUAAUUUCAUAAAAAAUAAAAUUUAAAAAAUAAUUUAUGUUUUUAUAAAAAAAAAUUUUUUAAUAAAAUAAAUUUAGAUAUAAUGAUAAAAUUAGUAUAUAUUUAUAAUAAUUUAAAUUAUUAAAUAAUAUUUUAAUUAAUUAAAAGGAAUUCGGCAAAAUUUUAUAUUCACUUGUUUAUCAAAAACAUGUCUUUUUGAAAAUAAUUUAAAGUCUAAUCUGCCCACUGAUUUAAUUAUUAAAGGGCUGCAGUAUUUUGACUGUACAAAGGUAGCAUAAUCAUUAGUCAUUUAAUUGAUGACUUGUAUGAAAGAUUGGAUGAAAUAUAAACUGUCUUUUAAUUAUAAUAUAGAAUUUAAUUUUUUAUUUAAAAAGUUAAAAUAUUUAAAAAAGACGAGAAGACCCUAUAGAGUUUUAUAAAUAAAUUUAAUUGAAAUUAUUUAUAAAAACAAAUAUUAAAAUUGAAUUAUUUAUUUUAUUGGGGUGAUAAAAAAAUAAAUUUAACUUUUUUUAAAUUUUAACAUUAAUAAAUGAGAAAUUGAUCCAAUUUUAUUGAUUAUAAGAAAAAAUUACCUUAGGGAUAACAGCGUAAUUUUUUUUUUUAGUUCAUAUAAAAAAAAAAGUUUGCGACCUCGAUGUUGGAUUAAGAUAAAAAUUAAAUGUAGAAGUUUAAAAUUUUUGAUCUGUUCAAUCAUUAAAAUCUUACAUGAUCUGAGUUCAAACCGGUGUAAGCCAUGUGGGUUUCUAUCUUUUUAUAAAUAUAAUAUUUUAGUACAAAAGGAUCAAAUAUUAAAAUUAAAUUUAUAAUUUUGAAUAUUAAUAAUAAAUUUAUAUAAUAAAUAAAUAUAAAUAUUAAUAUAAUAUAUAUAUAUAUAUAUAUAUAU